CCGAGUUUACAACUCCCAAACCCCUGUGAACAUACCAAUUGUUGCCUCGGCGGAUCACCGCGCCCCGUAACACGGGACGGCCCGCCAGAGGACCCAAACCCUGUCUUUAUGUGUAUCCUCUGAGUAACACUAAAAAUAAAUUA
rnacentral:misc_RNA from 1 species